UACGAAGGGUGCAAACGUUGCUCGGAAUCAUUGGGCGUAAAGCGCACGUAGGCGGCUUCGCAAGUCGGAUGUGAAAUCCCUCGGCUCAACCGAGGACGUGCAUCCGAAACUGCGGAGCUUGAGUACUGAAGAGGAUCGCGGAAUUCCCCGGUGUAGAGGUGAAAUUCGUAGAUAUCGGGAGGAACACCAGUGGCGAAGGCGGCGAUCUGGGCAGUUACUGACGCUGAGGUGCGAAAGCGUGGGGAGCAAACAGG
rnacentral:rRNA from 1 species